GUCUCAGUAGCAUAGUGGUUAGUGCACAGCCUCGAAUAGGUUGAGACGCGGGUUCGAAUCCCGCCUGAGAUG
rfam:Nippostrongylus brasiliensis genome assembly, scaffold: NBR_scaffold0000813